AUUGAACGCUGGCGGCAGGCUUAACACAUGCAAGUCGAGCGGGGUGAUGGUGCUUGCACUAUCACUUAGCGGCGGACGGGUGAGUAAUGCUUAGGAAUCUGCCUAUUAGUGGGGGACAACAUCUCGAAAGGGAUGCUAAUACCGCAUACGUCCUACGGGAGAAAGCAGGGGAUCACUUGUGACCUUGCGCUAAUAGAUGAGCCUAAGUCGGAUUAGCUAGUUGGUGGGGUAAAGGCCUACCAAGGCGACGAUCUGUAGCGGGUCUGAGAGGAUGAGCCGCAACACUGGGGCUGAGACACGGCCCAGAUUCCUACGGGAGGCAGCAGUGGGGAAUAUUGGACAAUGGGGGGAAACCUGAUCCAGCCAUGCCGCGUGUGUGAAGAAGGCCUUAUGGUUGUAAAGCACUUUAAGCGAGGAGGAGGCUCUUUUGGUUAAUACCCAAGAUGAGUGGACGUUACUCGCAGAAUAAGCACCGGCUAACUCUGUGCCAGCCGCCGCCGUAA
rnacentral:rRNA from 1 species